rnacentral:rRNA from 1 species
CAGUCGUACCAUCGGGUAAUCAGCCUUUCGGGUGCGAUUCUGUGGGGUGUGAAGAGUUAAACGCCUUCUCGUUUUGCAUAUUCGUGCUCUUGGGUGUACUUGCCCGUGUGGUUGGUUAACAUCAAUUUUGGACGCCAUAAAAUGACUGGAGGAAUGUAGCUUUGAUCUCGUAUUGAAGUGUCAUAGCCUUUGGUAAAUGUGUGAUUAGGACCGAGGAUUGCAACGAAUACCUUUUAGGCUAUCCGUCUGACCUCUGAAAGUUACUUGGGUGUCGAAAGCUUGCUUACGGCCAUUUAAGUUAACGGUCAAAAGGUUAGAACGUGAUUACAUUCGUUAAGGACGUUGACGUAAUAGCUUAAACGACCCGUCUUGAAACACGGACCAAGGAGUACUAACAUAUGUGCG